rnacentral:rRNA from 1 species
UACAGAGGGGGCAAGCGUUGUUCGGAAUUACUGGGCGUAAAGGGCGCGUAGGCGGCCUUCUAAGUCGAACGUGAAAUCCCCGGGCUCAACCCGGGAACUGCGUCCGAUACUGGGAGGCUUGAAUCCGGGAGAGGGAUGUGGAAUUCCAGGUGUAGCGGUGAAAUGCGUAGAGAUCAGGAAGAACAUCGGUGGCGAAGGCGCUCUGCUGGACCAUAACUGACACUCAGGGACGAAAGCUAGGGGAGCGAAUGGG